rnacentral:rRNA from 1 species
UGGGGAAUAUUGGACAAUGGGCGCAAGCCUGAUCCAGCAAUGCCGCGUGUGUGAAGAAGGCCUUCGGGUUGUAAAGCACUUUUAUCAGGAGCGAAAUACUACUGGCUAAUAACCGGUGGGGCUGACGGUACCUGAGGAAUAAGCACCGGCUAACUUCGUGCCAGCAGCCGCGGUAAUACGAAGGGUGCAAGCGUUAAUCGGAAUUACUGGGCGUAAAGCGUGCGUAGGCGGUGAGUUAAGUCUGUUGUGAAAUCCCCGGGCUCAACCUGGGAAUGGCAAUGGAUACUGGCUCGCUAGAGUGUGAUAGAGGAUGGUGGAAUUCCCGGUGUAGCGGUGAAAUGCGUAGAGAUCGGGAGGAACAUCAGUGGCGAAGGCGGCCAUCUGGAUCAACACUGACGCUGAGGCACGAAAGCGUGGGGAGCAAACA